rnacentral:lncRNA from 1 species
UGGGGUGGAAUAGGGGAGGGGUGGGAUGGGAUUGUCAUGUAAUUAUUGUGUGAUGUGUGUCUACAUUGUAACAUAUACUCGCAUCUGCUGUCCGUCACCGCCUGACUCGGCGUGACCGACAUGCCUGUCACCGAUAGUGGCCGCUAGGGACCCCUCAGGUCCCAGUCGGACCCUUCAGGUCCCAGUCGGACCCCUCAGGUCCCAGUCGGACCCCUCAGGUCCCCGUCGGACCCCUCAGGUCCCAGUCGGAUCCACCGUCCACCGCCUUACCGACCGUUUCUCUCUUCCCGGUCAGCGUUAUGAGGUGACGGCUCGGACCGACCCCAUGUGUGUGCUAUAGUGUAUGUGGGAGUGUGGGGUGGGGUGGGAAGGGACGGGUGGAGUGGGGAUAAUGUGUACGCCAGUACUGGUCCAUAUAGACAGACCAUAGGCACGUUGUUGUUUGCCCGUGCCGAGCUUGGCCCGCCGGCCCGCUAUUGUAUGUUCGUACCGAUGUCUUUAUGGAGCUCUGUAUUGGCGACUACCGCCAAUCUGUCAUUAUAUUGUUCGAACUCAAUAUGUACGUACCAUGUAGUGUAAGUGGCGCAUACCGUCUCCGAUCCAUUGACUAGGAGCGCCAGCUGUAUGUUUGUGUGUGGAGCCCUAUUCGUGGCCUCCUGCCGUCCGUGGACCCUGCUGCCACCGACAAACGUAGUAGAUAUGUGUUCGUCCAGACCGGAUGCCCUUUGUGGCCGACUAUUGCUGAUGGCUGUGUUCUGUUCGUAGCCUGAUGCCGAUCGAGGCUGCCCUGUCGUCCGUGGCCCCGCUGCCACCGACCAGUCAUUGACGCUCAGUGACCUUACGCUGACUAACCUGUUUGGUCUGAUGACGCCCAGCGUCCCUGUACGAUUCGCUGAUGUGUGUCGCACCGAUGUGCUGCCCGUCUCGGUCGGCCCGCACCCAGGGCUCGUCUGGCCCCCCUCUACCCCCCCCCCUUCCCCGGCACCCUCUGUCCCCUGUAGCCCCGGGGUCGUGGCCGGCCGCUGUCGGUCGACCCUCCCCGAUGCCGCACGGGGUCACGGUGCCCUCCCUGCCCCGAGGCGGUGGUGUGGGGUCGGCGCCCUCCGGUGGGUCUCGGCCGGUGUGGGCCGGGAGGGCCCCGGACUCCCUCUCCCUGGCUUGGUGCCUGGUGGCUGGUGACGGGCGGCCAUGGUGAUGGCGUGGUGCGGCUCACCACACGAUGGUGAGGCACGGAUGCAGGCCUGGUGCCGCUUAGUGCUUAGAUGGUAGCGUCACACGGGGAGCGCUGCUCUGGUGAUGGUGUGGGCCGCUACGGCGGCGGGCAGGUGGGCCCCAGUGGCCGCCCCGACCGACGCGUCGGACCGCCAGCCGGUGCCGGGGCGCACAGCUGGCGGUGCCCUGCUUUGGUGAUGGUGAUGGUGGUGCAGAUCCCCAGCAACCCCCUCCCCUCCCUCCCUGGCCCGCCGCGCCGGCCCGCCGUGGUGCCUCCCCCACUGCCGCCUCCCUCCUCCCCCUCCCCGAUCCUCCCGCCAGCCUUGCCCGGGGUGUGUGGCCGACCGCCAUGGUGACCCUCCGGGGUCUGUAACUAUUGGCUUAUUUAUCUCUGUGCAUGGUUUGUAAAACGGACCGGCAUGACUGUUGC